AGCGAACGCUGGCGGCAGGCCUAAUACAUGCAAGUCGAGCGCACCUUCGGGUGAGCGGCGGACGGGUGAGUAACGCGUGGGAACGUGCCCUUUGGUUCGGAACAACACAGGGAAACUUGUGCUAAUACCGAAUGUGCCCUUCGGGGGAAAGAUUUAUCGCCAUUGGAGCGGCCCGCGUUGGAUUAGCUAGUUGGUGGGGUAAAGGCCCACCAAGGCGACGAUCCAUAGCUGGUCUGAGAGGAUGAUCAGCCACACUGGGACUGAGACACGGCCCAGACUCCUACGGGAGGCGGCAGUAGGGAAUCUUGCGCAAUGGGCGAAAGCCUGACGCAGCCAUGCCGCGUGAAUGAUGAAGGUCUUAGGAUUGUAAAAUUCUUUCACCGGGGAAGAUAAUGACGGUACCCGGAGAAGAAGCCCCGGCUAACUUCGUGCCAGCAGCCGCGGUAAUACGAAGGGGGCUAGCGUUGCUCGGAAUUACUGGGCGUAAAGGGCGCGUAGGCGGACAGUUUAGUCAGAGGUGAAAGCCCAGGGCUCAACCUUGGAACUGCCUUUGAUACUGGCUGUCUUGAGUUCGGGAGAGGUGAGUGGAAUGCCGAGUGUAGAGGUGAAAUUCGUAGAUAUUCGGCGGAACACCAGUGGCGAAGGCGACUCACUGGCCCGAUACUGACGCUGAGGCGCGAAAGCGUGGGGAGCAAACAGG
rnacentral:rRNA from 1 species